rnacentral:misc_RNA from 1 species
AACGCACCUUGCGCCUCUUGGUAUUCCGAGGGGCAUGCCUGUUUGAGUGUCACGAAACCAUCAAUGAGGACCUUUCUUCUCAGAGAGAGGCUUUCUUGUUGGAAUAUGGAGUGUGCUGGCUUGUUCAGCUCCUCUGAAAUGCAUUAGCGAUGUGGUGUUCCGCACCUGCUUGAGCUUCAUUGGCAUUGAUAGUCAUUCAUGUCAGAGUUGUUCAGCUGUGGAAAGGUUCACUUGCUCCUAAUUGUGAUGGACUCUCUCCAUCCUUUGACCCAUAUAACCUCAAAUCAGGCAGGACUACCCGCUGAACUUAA